CUCGGUAAUGCAUAUUUGCUUUGUGAUUUCAUGCAGAAGAUGACAAAAAGUAUAAAAAUUAUAACUUCUUUCUGCAUAGAACAUUGAUUUUUGAUUUUGAACCAAGUGGACUUUAUUGUUGGGUAAUAUCUUGAAGUUUGUGGUUUAUAUCUACCUUAAAAGUAAUAGCCAAAAAUUGGUAAAAAUAGUCAUUAUGACGAGUCACCUUUGUUGAUUUAUUGGUUGGUCUUAUCUGUUUGGUGAAUCUCUCUUUUAAAGUUUUAUUCGAAACAAUAAAAACUAACUGACCACCACACCUUUGAUGCAAAGGAAACGUAAGGAAAAAUUAUUAUAGAUAAAUAGAAUUGAGAAUAGACACGAGGAAUGUGUAAUAGAAACAACAACCCG
rnacentral:lncRNA from 1 species